AUGAUAAACUUCUUGCUCAUAACUCCAAACCCUAUUAGAAAGGUCGCUCACCUGAAACGGGAUCAAAGAAUCAACCUUACAACAAAACUAGAGAUAUCAAAAUUUGUUCCUACUGCAAUAAACCUGGACACAUCAUUGAAAUAUGCUUCAAAAAGCACGGUCUUCCCUCCUUAUUUGAAGAAGCCCCAGAUUGCGCAAGUAUCAUUAGAAGAACAAACUAAGGAGCGAACAAAUUAUUCAGAUCAAGGUAUCAACCAAUUUGUGCUAAUUGCUGAUCAACAAUGA